rnacentral:lncRNA from 1 species
CGGUCAAUUUUCGGCCCACAGCACGCCCGAACCCCAGGCCCACCACUAAAAUCAUGGGUAAUAGCACACCGAUUUGGCCUGAAAAUGCCCCGUUCAUGCCGUUUCGUCUGUUUCUCCACCCAAAUAGCCACAAAAAAUUAAACGGACCACACUGGGUCGAUCUCCUACCUCCCUGGCAUACCUCGAUCGAUUUUUGGCCCACAGCACGCCCGAACCCCAGGCUCACCCCAAAAUCGUGGUCUAUAGCACACCGAUUUGGCCCGAAAAUGCCCCGUUCGCUCUAUUUCACCUGUUUGUUCACCCAAAUGGCCAAAAAAAAUUAAA